UGACUCUAUUACAGUUUCUCAAAUUUACAUAAAGUGUUUUCUUAAUAAAAGUUGAUAGGAGAAAAAGAAAUAACUUCAGUGUCAGCACUUCUGUGCAAGUAUUUCUCUUCUGUGCUACUGAAAUACUGAAAAAACACCUCUACAGUAACAAAGGCAAUCCUGUUACAAAGUGUUGUCCUCCAUCAGCAUUUGAUACACCUGGAUAUUUCUUCUACAUUCACCUACCAUGAGGGAAGUAUUUUCAUUCCAUACAGAGACUACUGAGACCACUGGUUAUACUUCUUUCCAAAAUUUGUAUCAGUAAGUGAAAUGAAAUGAGACAUCUUAAAGAAUAAACUUUCCAGGCAGAUCAUAAGCUAGGUGAAACUAAUGUAUGUCGUUCUAAGACAUCUUCUGAAGCAUAUAUGUGAUAUUUUGGGGUUUCUAUUUGUUAUGGAGGUUGGACUACGUGACUCUGAGUUUCCUUCCAACCCAAAUGUUUUUAUGGUUCUGUGAUUCAAAUUUUGUCUGAAAAGUUACAAAACAUUUCAGUAUGAAAGAUAUUGGAACACUAGAUAGGAACUAUAUUGAGUUUCAGCAAAACUUGAUUAUUCUGUUUAUUUUUUAUGAUCAGAUACAGAAACUUGUUGUACGGAGAAGACAUCCACAGUUAAAGAUAAGAAUGAGUCAGAGAUGUGGGCAUCACUUAGGGAAUUUUGAACAUUGUUGUGCAAUGAUUUUUAGAACAUUUGGAUUAAGAUGUACACAAAAAAGCUGAGGAAAAAUGGUUGGUUUUUUUUUUUUUUUUUUUACUGAAUUUUUAAGCUGUACUGAAAUCAAUCAUGGAAAAAAAUAAAACAGCAAAUAGUUCAGAAUCUACUACUUCACUUAAGAUAAACGAAAAGAAAUAAGAGAUCAGAGACGUAUAUCUGUGGGAAAAAAAGAGCAUCCAGCAAAUGAAUAUGCGGGAUGCUUCAAGGGAGGGAUGAUCUCAGCUAUUACAAGUAGGAGACUAGUUCCAAAUGAAAGAGAUUAUAAAAACUAUAAUUAGCUAAUGCUUCCUAAAAGCCUAACUAAACUGUUGGGUUUUUUCCAUUCCAAAGUGCAAUACCACAGUGUGAUCAAGUGUCACAUAGCAAGUGCAGACAGAAGAUCUGACAUUAUUUCAGGACAGACU
ensembl:lncRNA